rnacentral:rRNA from 1 species
CGCAAGCCUGACGGAGCAAGACCGCGUGCGGGAUGACGGCCUAAUGGUUGUAAACCGCUUUUCUCUGGGAAGAUGAUGACGGUACCAGAGGAAUCAGCCUCGGCUAACUCCGUGCCAGCAGCCGCUGUAAUACGGAGGAGGCAAGCGUUAUCCGGAAUUAUUGGGCGUAAAGCGUCCGUAGGUGGUUAUUCAAGUCUGCUGUCAAAGCGUGGGGCUUAACUCCAUAGAGGCAGUGGAAACUGGAUGACUUGAGUGCGGUAGGGGUCGAGGGAAUUCCCAGUGUAGCGGUGAAAUGCGUAGAUAUUGGGAAGAACACCAGUGGCGAAAGCGCUCGACUGGGCCUGCACUGACACUGAGGGACGAAAGCUAGGGGAGCG